GAUGAACGCUGGCGGCGUGCCUAAUACAUGCAAGUCGAGCGAACGGACGAGAAGCUUGCUUCUCUGAUGUUAGCGGCGGACGGGUGAGUAACACGUGGAUAACCUACCUAUAAGACUGGGAUAACUUCGGGAAACCGGAGCUAAUGCCGGAUAAUAUUUUGAACCGCAUGGUUCAAAAGUGAAAGACGGUCUUGCUGUCACUUAUAGAUGGAUCCGCGCUGCAUUAGCUAGUUGGUAAGGUAACGGCUUACCAAGGCAACGAUGCAUAGCCGACCUGAGAGGGUGAUCGGCCACACUGGAACUGAGACACGGUCCAGACUCCUACGGGAGGCAGCAGUAGGGAAUCUUCCGCAAUGGGCGAAAGCCUGACGGAGCAACGCCGCGUGAGUGAUGAAGGUCUUCGGAUCGUAAAACUCUGUUAUUAGGGAAGAACAUAUGUGUAAGUAACUGUGCACAUCUUGACGGUACCUAAUCAGAAAGCCACGGCUAACUACGUGCCAGCAGCCGCGGUAAUACGUAGGUGGCAAGCGUUAUCCGGAAUUAUUGGGCGUAAAGCGCGCGUAGGCGGUUUUUUAAGUCUGAUGUGAAAGCCCACGGCUCAACCGUGGAGGGUCAUUGGAAACUGGAAAACUUGAGUGCAGAAGAGGAAAGUGGAAUUCCAUGUGUAGCGGUGAAAUGCGCAGAGAUAUGGAGGAACACCAGUGGCGAAGGCGACUUUCUGGUCUGUAACUGACGCUGAUGUGCGAAAGCGUGGGGAUCAAACAGGAUUAGAUACCCUGGUAGUCCACGCCGUAAACGAUGAGUGCUAAGUGUUAGGGGGUUUCCGCCCCUUAGUGCUGCAGCUAACGCAUUAAGCACUCCGCCUGGGGAGUACGACCGCAAGGUUGAAACUCAAAGGAAUUGACGGGGACCCGCACAAGCGGUGGAGCAUGUGGUUUAAUUCGAAGCAACGCGAAGAACCUUACCAAAUCUUGACAUCCUUUGACAACUCUAGAGAUAGAGCCUUCCCCUUCGGGGGGCAAAGUGACAGGUGGUGCAUGGUUGUCGUCAGCUCGUGUCGUGAGAUGUUGGGUUAAGUCCCGCAACGAGCGCAACCCUUAAGCUUAGUUGCCAUCAUUAAGUUGGGCACUCUAAGUUGACUGCCGGUGACAAACCGGAGGAAGGUGGGGAUGACGUCAAAUCAUCAUGCCCCUUAUGAUUUGGGCUACACACGUGCUACAAUGGACAAUACAAAGGGCAGCGAAACCGCGAGGUCAAGCAAAUCCCAUAAAGUUGUUCUCAGUUCGGAUUGUAGUCUGCAACUCGACUACAUGAAGCUGGAAUCGCUAGUAAUCGUAGAUCAGCAUGCUACGGUGAAUACGUUCCCGGGUCU
rnacentral:rRNA from 1 species